UCAGCCGGCCGGACGACCGCCGCGAGAGGAGUGAUCUUCGCGCGGAGGAAAGUCCGGGCUCCACGGAAACACGGUGCCGGAUAACGUCCGGCGGGGGUGACCCCAGGGAAAGUGCCACAGAAAGCAAACCGCCGGGCAUUGCGAUGUCCGGUAAGGGUGAAAGGGUGCGGUAAGAGCGCACCGCGCGGGCGGUAACGCAGGCGGCAAGGUAAACCCCACCGGGAGCAAAACCGAAUAGGGACGACAGGCGCUUCGGCACCAAGCCCGUUUCCGGGCCCGUCGUCCGGGUUGGUUGCUGGAGGCUGUCGGCAACGGCAGUCCCAGAGGAAUGGUCGUCACGUCGGCGAGUUCGCUCGCCGGCCUUACAGAACCCGGCUUACAGGCCGGCUGACACA
rnacentral:RNase_P_RNA from 2 species